rnacentral:rRNA from 1 species
UACGUAGGGAGCGAGCGUUGUCCGGAAUUACUGGGUAUAAAGGGAGCGUAGGCGGGUUUGUAAGUUGAAUGUGAAAUUUAUGGGCUUAACUCAUAAACUGCGUUCAAAACUACAGAUCUUGAGUGAAGUAGAGGCAGGUGGAAUUCCUAGUGUAGCGGUGGAAUGCGUAGAUAUUAGGAGGAACACCAGUGGCGAAGGCGGCCUGCUGGGCUUUAACUGACGCUGAGGCUCGAAAGCAUGGGGAG